AACGAACGCUGGCGGCAGGCCUAACACAUGCAAGUCGAGCGAAGCCUUCGGGCUUAGCGGCGGACGGGUGAGUAACGCGUGGGAACGUGCCCUUUGGUACGGAAUAGCCCCGGGAAACUGGGAGUAAUACCGUAUGUGGUCGAGAGACAAAAGAUUUAUCGCCAAAGGAUCGGCCCGCGUUGGAUUAGGUAGUUGGUGGGGUAAUGGCCUACCAAGCCGACGAUCCAUAGCUGGUUUGAGAGGAUGAUCAGCCACACUGGGACUGAGACACGGCCCAGACUCCUACGGGAGGCAGCAGUGGGGAAUCUUAGACAAUGGGGGAAACCCUGAUCUAGCCAUGCCGCGUGAUCGAUGAAGGCCUUAGGGUUGUAAAGAUCUUUCAGUGGGGAAGAUAAUGACUGUACCCACAGAAGAAGCCCCGGCUAACUCCGUACCAGCCGCCGCGGUAACAC
rnacentral:rRNA from 1 species